GCCAGAAGCCAUAUCUGGCAACCCACUGAAGCUAAGCAGGUGUGAGCCUGGUCAGUACCUGGAUGGGAGACCUCCUGGGAAAAACUAAGGUUGCUGCUGGAA
rnacentral:rRNA from 1 species